GAGGCGGAGGGCGCUGUCAGCGGAGCCCCGCUCCUCGGUCACACAGAGCUGCUGCCGCUGAAGGGGCUGGGGAGGAGAGCAGCGCCGGAGCUGGGCGGACACCGGCGAGAGGAAAAGCGUCCCUCCCGACCCCAGCGCAGGGCGCGCCAGGAGCUGCCGCUGCCCGUCCGACCGCCCGGGGCGGCUCCGCGCUCCUCCGAGGUGCGGGGCGGUGCGCGCAGGCUGGGCACGGAGCGGCUGCUGCCGCUGCUGCUGCUGCUGCCGAAGGUGAAGCUCUCGCUCUCCAAUUACUUUUCCCAAGAGAGAGAAGGAGGCAGCAGGAGGGGGAAGUCGUGCUGUGUGCGAAGCCAAACCAGAGAUGCUCUAACGGAGGUAUUGCUGCAGGACGCGCCGGCUCUUCCUCCCUUCCUCUGCCGGCGGGGCUGAAUCGGGACCUCACGCAGCUGGCGGAGGGGCAGGAGCCGGACCGAGCUGCAGGACUUCUUCACCCUCCGCUUUUCCGAGAGCUAAUCCAUAUCCGACCCCUUUUAUUUUAAUUUUUAUUAUUAUUAUUUCUAAUACUCUGAAAUCGUGCACGAGAAACACUUCAAGUCUCCCCUCCUUCCCUUCCCACGUACUUCACCCUCCCUCUCGCAUCUCUUAGCCGGAUUCCUCGUAUAUUCAUUCCCAAAGAGGCGGGGGGACACCCGGCAGACGAUUGCCCGCUCCAGCCCGGCCGACCCGAGCCGACCCGAGCAGAGGGGAGCCGAGCGCGGCGCCGCUCCGCUCGGUGCCCGCGGGCACUGGCGGGGCGCGGGGCGUGUGCCGGCGAUGCCCGGGCGGUAAGGCUGGAGCUCCCCCCCGACGUGAGGAGGCCGAUCCCUAGGUGUUUCCAGCAGGAAGCGGGGCUGCAGGAUGAAUAAGAGAUACUUACAGAAAGCAACAAAAGGAAAACUGCUAAUAAUAAUAUUUGUUGUAACGCUGUGGGGGAAAUUAGCAUCUGGAGCAAAUCAUCAUAAAGCUCACCAUGUUAAAACUGGGACCUGUGAAGUGGUGGCACUCCACAGAUGUUGCAAUAAGAACAAGAUAGAAGAAAGAUCACAGACAGUGAAGUGCUCCUGCUUCCCUGGGCAGGUAGCAGGUACCACCCGGGCAGCUCCUUCUUGUGUUGAUGCUUCAAUAGUGGAGCAGAAAUGGUGGUGCCACAUGCAACCAUGUCUUGAAGGGGAGGAAUGUAAAGUUCUUCCAGAUCGUAAGGGAUGGAGCUGUUCAUCUGGGAAUAAAGUGAAAACAACUAGGUCUUUUAUGCCGCCAUGCUGCAGUCCCACUAUGGAGUUGUGAUCACCACAAAAACCUCAAGAGGAUAUAUCCUUGUCUGAAUUGCUACAGUUAUUAUCUGUUACAGAAAGUAAAAUAAGGCAAACGUGUAAAACUGCUCAAGUCCGAAUGGAGAAGUAGAGAAAGGAGGUUUCUGCUGUGCCUGAUGACAAUUUUUGUUUUUUUCCACACACACAAAAUAUUUUGGCUCCACGUUGGAGCACUAGUUGUGAUGAAUCCUAGUCUUGGUUGGAUUCUAAGGAAGGGCCAGAACGUUCGUUGAGGAAUAAAGAGUCAGACCACUCCAGAAAAUGUGUUCCAGCCCUGGUUUAUUACUCACAGAGCAGCAGGUAACCCGAUAGCUAAAGACAAAUCAAGUCAGUCUCAAGGCUGAUAACAUUAAAUACAACACACAGGGAUUUCAUUCCUCCAGGCAAUCCUUGAAGUGAAAUUUUAUACUGCUGGGGUGUAUCCUUCAGAAUCAAUUGUUUCAAUGAGAACCUGCCCUGUAAUCAGCAACAGCCUUGAGAUCAAAACUACUGGGAAGUUGUUCUGAACUUCUGUGUCACAAAGAUUUCAACUGAUUGAACUGUGUACACUGGUAAAAUUGCACUUGCUGAGGAAUUUGCAGCUGUAAUCACAAGAGUUGAUACUUAAAAUGUGCAGAAAAACAUCAAUUUUUGGAUUCUCCAUUCCAGACCAGUGGCUUUUCAUCUUGAUGAAGUCAACCUCCAAAAUGUAUUGGUUCCUUCUCUCUAAAAUGAUCCCUGGUCCGCAUUCAGAUCGCUGAUGGGACUGCACACUGCUUUAAUUAAAUUUCUGUUGCAGAAAUUGUCCUCUGGCAUGGCACAGUUUUAGACAUUUUUAUUUGUAUUCUAAUCUUGGAGCUCUCAAAGUUACAUGUUUCAACAUCUUGAAGUUGCUUUUGUUAUAGGAAUGGAAAUAUAUAUCCAUUGUUAAUAAUUAUUGUUGACAAGUAAUAGUUAUCUGAAUACAUCAGUCAUAUUAGAAUGUAUAGUCAGGCUGACAUGUUCCCCUAAGGCUAAUCAACUACUGCAGCUCUUUGGCGGUUAAAAAAGUGGUGGUCAAAACUCAAUUACCACUUCCAUUAUAAGGCAUUUUAUAACUUUAAAAUAUACAUUUCCAUUUAGUUUGAAGGAGAUGAGUGUUCCUGAUAUGUACUUUACUUUCCCAAACUUUAGUUCAUUGAAAUUCACGGUAAGCGUUCAAUGGCAGUAUUUCAUCCCUUUUUAUAAAGGUAGGCAGGGAUGUAAAUGGGUUUUGCAAUUAUGAAAUUGGAUGGUAAUCAUUCAGAAUUUUGGGGGUAUUUUUUAUUAAAAAAUAAAAUCUCUUGCUUGAACCUAAAUACUGUUGGAUGCUUAUGUAGAUGUCUGCUCAGUCUGUUUGCUAUAGAGGAAAAAAGUCCUAGUGCCCUCUCAGAUUUACAGUUUGUGGGUAUUUUGCUUGCUUACAGUCAUCCAAUUCAGAUCUGAUCCUUGCCAAAAUCACAUUUACUGUUUUUAUUUUUGUUUCAGGAGCAAUUUUUGAACUUAGUGAUGUGCUGUUACAUGAAAAAGAAAAAAAAAUCCUCAAUAUUUAAAGGCCUUAAGCAUCUAUAAGCUUUUUUCUAGGUUAUUACAGAAUGUAUAAUUUUAUACUCCAUUUAAUGUAUAUUGUACCAUCUGUAAUAUUGAUACAACAGAAAUUUGGCAAUUCCAUCUAGUGACACUGCAUAAGCAUGCUGACUGGAGAGGGUGAGGGCGUUCUGACUGUAUACUUUGGUGCAUUGAAAUGAAAACCACACACACUUAAUGGCAGUCAAAAAUAUACAGGGUGAGAUUAUUUAGAAGUCCUGUGUGUUACCAGACUCUCAGAAAAAGAGGGAAAUGAUUUUCUCAUCACAAGCCAUUGACAUGGCUAAGUAGUUAUAUAUUAAGUUCCAUGAUGGAUGAACACCCUGGAGUGCUCUGCCUAUCACAGUAGCUCCUGCUGUUCCAAAACCAUUUCAUUACCUCUGCUGUAUUAUUGCACAGGAGAGCUUAAAUAAAAUAAAUGACUGCUGGGAAUAAAGUUGAGAAGUAUAUUCUAUCAUUCUGCUGAGAAAUAAUAAAAAAAUUGGCAGGGAAAGAUAUUUUUCUGAUUAAAAUUUAAUUAUGAUAAACUAGCAGCAACUAGUUAUCUCUGUAUUUUAGGAUGGAUUAAUACUGUAUGGAUUUGUGCUAACAGGUGCAGGACAGAAGGCAGUGUUUUAAAGAGAUUGUCUGGGACAGUGCAAAGUGUAAAUGUGCUGUUUUGUAAAAUCUGAAUAUAGCCUCUCUUUGGUCAAAAACUCCAUCAUGCUUCUCAAUAUUUGUUUUCUUUGUUUGUUCUUAAGCCAACAAUGAAAAUACUGUAUAAUAUACAAGUGUAACACAUGCAUAUCAAUAAGUGAAAAUAAAUGGAUUUUCAAAUAUACUAAACAGAUUAUCUGAAGUAGAUUAGUGUUGUGAAUAUUCAUAGAAAGUGAAUAAAAUUGUAAUAUAAAAUAGAA